rnacentral:misc_RNA from 1 species
UCAAGAGUGUAUAACCCCCCUUGUAAAAUAGUGGGGUUAACCUCCCGUCCUUUGCUAACCCCUCCCUUUUGGAGGGGGGCAUUAAAUUUUCUGCUUCGGUGGGGUUUACCCACCGGAACACCCUCAAAAAUUCUUUAAAAAUUAUUCAGUCCGAGAAUUUUUUAAAUUAAACAAA